GUUGCUUCGUGGCACUAAUGUUUCUUUAAAAGAUGUAAUGUUCUAAUUCUCGUCCUUCAAGUUACUGAGCUUACAGCGAUAACAUACAGGAUGGCUCUCUUAUUUGUGACUCUCGCUGCUUCUAUUCUGACUCUUGGAAAUUGCGGAAAUUUCACUAUCACACAAGAGGCUUCAGUUAGUAUUGAAAUUAAAAACUUUGAUGGCGAAGGAGAAGAUUUCAGAGGUAAAUUCACAAUAGGUCUUUUUGGAGACUCAGUACCAAUGACAGCACUUAACUUCGCUGGAAUUUGCAAAGGAUUCAAGAGAGGAAACAAAGGGCCUAAACUUCAUUACAAAAACACCUUCUGUCACCGAGUGGUAAAAGACAUGUUAGUCCAAUGUGGUGACGUCACCAUUGGUGAUGGAUCUGGCAGUAAAUCAAUCUUCGGAGAUAAAUUCAAUGACGAAAACUUCAUCGUCAGCCACAGCAGUGCUGGUAUUAUUUCUAUGGCUAAUCAUGGACAAGACACUAACGGAUCACAAUUCUUCAUCCUCUUCACUAGAGCUCGAUACCUCGACAACAAACACGUCGCUUUCGGCAAAGUUGUUAAAGGAUACGAUGUAGUAGAAGCUAUCAACGAUUUAGGUUCAGAAAAAGACGGUUUAACACCACGACGACCCAUCAAAAUCACCGACUGUGUUCUUGAAGAAGUUGAAAAAUACGAUCUAUCUAGAAAACAAAUGUUUACUGAUGAUUUAGAAAAAUAAACAGUUUAAUUAA